rnacentral:misc_RNA from 1 species
AUAAGAGGAAGGACUCAAGCAAUAAUUUGAAGGUCCCUCAACAGGACAAGCAGAAGUCAAAAAUCUGUUUUGAUCAUCAGCCAUUCUGAGGUUUGCAUAAGUUCCCUCUCGGCCAUCUCUAUCCAAACCCCAAUUGCCCACAAUUGCCCUUGACCUCAAAGACCCUGCAGAACUCUUAAAUUGGGCUGAAAUCUCGGCAACAUCUUUUUCUCUACUUGAAUUAACACACUCAGAUCUAUUCAUGUUCAUUUCAUUAUCAUCCCAGCCAACCCAAUUCCCAAUUGGGUGCUUCAAUGGUAGCUGGAGCCUAUAUUUAUCCCCAGAACCAAUUUCCUUCUCUGCACCACCUUCAUAACCCACAAUUUGUUCCUUCGCAGUUCCAAAGCUACUAUCAAUUGAAGUUUCUUUGGUUUCUAUCCCGAAUAAAGAACUACCGAUCAAAUUGGCAGUUCUUCCUCUAAAGACUCACUCUUUUAUCCUAUCAAGAAAGACCCCGUCACUCUCUAUCUCAGCCUCGGAUGCAACACCUAAAUCACUACCCUCUUCUUUCUUUGGCGAAGUCUCUUUUUCAAGCUUCUCUAAUUGCCCAUCAUUUAUA